rnacentral:lncRNA from 1 species
AGAAUACUAGACGGAUGGUGCCUGCAAUGUCAAUCAAAAAUAAUGGACCCAUUAUCAUUCAUCUUUAUAGGAAGCUAUGAUCUAGUUAUCCCCAUAACUAGCUCAUUUUAUGGACCUAAUAAUUUAGAGAAUUUAAGAAUCAGUUUAGAGAAAAUAUGAGAAGAGAUCAAUCAGUAAACCAUAAUCCUCCUACUAACUUCACUAAGUCAUUGAAUUGGAUCAGAUUCAUACUAGUUAAAUAGCACCUAGAUCAGUCACACUGAUCAACCUUAAUGGCAUGGGUCAACUCGAAUCACUUAGCAGUUUAAUCAAGAUAUAAUUCACCAAAUUGACUAGGUAAGUGAGAUUAGUGGGAGGGU